rnacentral:rRNA from 1 species
AAAAGAACCCCUGUGAGGGGAGUGAAAUAGAACCUGAAACCGUGUACGUACAAGCAGUAGGAGCACCUUCGUGGUGUGACUGCGUACCUUUUGUAUAAUGGGUCAGCGACUUAUAUUCAGUGGCAAGUUAACCAUCUAGGGGAGCCGUAGGGAAACCGAGUCUUAACUGGGCGUUCAGUCUCUGGAUAUAGACCCGAAACC